CAAAACUAAUUAUGUAAUUAGUGAAAAUAUUUAAAUAUAAUUUUUGAAAAUUAAGAUCUUGUUAAAUAUUCUUAAACAGAUACUUUCAAAAAUUUUAAUAUAUCUAUAUAUAUUUUAAAUGAAAAGAUAUCUAAAGAUAUUAUGAUUAAAGUAGUUCAAAGAUUCUAUAUAUUAUUAGUCUUAUGAAAAUACAUUUAAUAAAAUAUUUUAAGGGUAGUUCAACUUAAAAAUUACCCAUGAAAUGAAGUUGUGACUUCUAUUUUAAUAUAAUAGAUAUUUAAAUGUUUAUAUAACUAUUUCAAAUACAUUAAUUUAUAGUUUACAUGUUGUAAAUAAUCAAUUGUUUAAAACCGUCACAUGUAUUUGUUGUUUAUUAUUAUAUAUUUAUCUUAUUGUAUUUGCAUUGAAUUAUUAAACAAAUUAAUAUGUGCAUUAAAAACAUAUUAGAAAAUUAUUUUGUAUUUAAUUUAUGUUAAAUUUUUACCCAUCCUUCAAAACUGGAUUUCCUUUUAGCAAUUUUUUUUUACGUUUAUUCAUUUUACAUAAUAUAUUAUUGUAUAUACAAAAGUCUAAGAUAUGUUAAUUUUAUAUAUGUAUUAUAUAGUCUGCUAAUGUUAAGCCGUUUUGUCAUCAUAUUAUAUUUUUAACAUAAAUAUUCAUAUUUAUUAAAAUAAAAUUAUAAAUUUAUCAUAUUUAGUUCAAUAUAAUAAUUCUAUUUUAACAUGAUUGAUUAUGAUUAUAAAUUAGAUAAAGUAGGAUAUAUUUUUAAUUUUAUAAACAAUAACUAAAUAUAUAUUAAUACAUGAUAAUAGUUUAUUGCUAAUUACGAAAUCAGCGAAAAUAUUUACAUAAACUUUUUGAAAAUUAAGAUAUUCUUAAAAUAUGUAGAUCAACAUAAUACUUUUAUUUUAAUAUGAUUGAUUGUGAUUAUAUAUUAGAUAAAACAUGAUAGAAUUUAUUUUUCAUUUUAUAAAAAAUAACUGAAUAUAUUAAUGAUAAUAAUAUUUCAAAACUAAUUACGUAAUUAGUGAAAAUAUUUAUAUAUAAUUUUUGAAAAUUAAGAUCUUGUUAAAUCUUUUUAAACAGAUAUUUUCGAAAAUUUUAAUAUAUAUAUAUAUAUUUAUUUAUUUAUAUUUUAAAUGAAAAGAUAUCAAAAGAUACUGUGAUGAAAGUAAUUCAAAUAUUCUAUAUAUUAAUAGUCUUAUUAAAAUACAUUUAAUAAAAUUUGUUAAGGGUGGUCCAACUUAAAAAUUACACAUGAAAUAAAGUUGUGACUUCUAUUUUAAUAGAAUAGAUAUUCGUAUAUAUAUAUAUACACUGUGGCGUUAGCUAAAUGAAAAAGAAUAGCAAUGGAAUAACGACCAUGUUAUUCAAUCAACCCAAACGUAAACUAGUAGAAUAAUUAGCUCGAGAAAUCGAAAAAAAAAAUCAUGAAAAAUCACAAAAUAUAGAAUGUGAAUAUUUUUGUUGAUUGAAAAAAAUCACGAAAUUGUUACAGAAAAAACAUGGCCAUAUAUAACCAUGAUUUUGCCAGGAUUAUUUCGUGACAAAAUAGUCAGAAAAUGACUAAAAUCAUAGUUAAUCAACAAAAAGAUUUCUUUGCCAAGAUUUGGUCACGAGUUUUUAUAACUAUUUAUAAAAAAAGUUAUGAAUUUGUCACAAUUUUUGCAACAAGAUAUGAUCUUAUUAGCUUAAGUAAGUAGGUUUAGAAAGGGGAACACAAGAAAAUCUAUCGAUUUUUUGAACAUUUGGUAAAUGACUUGCAAACUACUUAGAUGAAUUUUAUUUAUACUACAUUAAAAUCAUGUUAAUGUUUUUGUUUUAUAAUAAAUCAUUUUAAAAAAAAUCUAACUUAUACCUUUUAGUGUAUAAAUAUUAAUGAAUCUUCGAUAAAACUAAUAAACUAACAGUCAAAAUGUCAAUAUAUCAUCAUUAACGUGUUAUUUAAUAUCUUGAUAUAAAUCUCUCAUUUGUUCAUAAAAAUCUCGGACUAACGAAGUAUAUAAUAUCAUAGAGUUGUUCAGAGAAACAAAAACCAACAUCCUCUCUCUAAAAUUAUUUUCUCCUCCUUCUCUCUACCACUUCUCGUCUUCUCCGCCAUAGUUUAUGGUUUCCGGCGGUGGCGCGCCCUUGGCGUCACCGUCGGGAUUUCUUCUUGUGUUCUCUUGUAGGUAGAUCUAUCCCGCUUCAUUGACCUAUCUUCUUCUUUUGAUUUCUCUCCUCUUGGGUUUCAUCGACCUUGUUGAGAGUUCUUGUUAGCAGUUUGGUUUCCUUUUCCGUUCUGCUUUCAAGCUUUUGUUGAUUUGUGGUUUAUUGAUAUUGCAUGUCCGAGUCCGUUUGGUGCAUGUGGUCUGUCUCUCCUCAGCCUAGUCUUGGGGUGCUCUCAUGUCCUGUCGCCGUCGGUUAUCAGCAUCAAGUGUACCUCUUUUUCUGGUCUCUUCAGUAUCAUCUACGUUCUAGUUGCAGAGAGAAGCUGUUCUUCAAGUUGGUUUGCUUUGUCUCUGAAGGAGAAAUCUGGUCUUUCUCAUGAAGGUUUGGUUCCCGGUUCACCUCCUGUGGCUCAACUAGGCUCAAUGGUCUGAUGUUGUAGCAAUAUAAAAGGAUGCAGGCUCUCCUUCUUCUCGUCAGUAUAUUGGACGGGUUUGAUUUCUUCCUCAAGCUUAUUCCUAGAUAGUUGUACGGUUGUUUUCUUGUUCUGCUC